GAAAGAGGCAGAAGAGACCGGAGCAAGAGAGAGGAGCUCAAACCUGGCCUGGAACAAGCCCCACUUGGGCUCGUUGUGGUUCUGUUUACCAACAAGCAGGAAGAAGGCUAUUGUACUCAGGGUUACAGAAGCGGAAAGAAAUCCAGGAGCCAAGAAAUGGGCUGGGAGACAAUAGUUCCCAUAAUCUCUGCAGGGACGAGGUCCUGACCUAUUGGCUUUAAGAAGCGCCUCAUUUUCAGACCGACUUCUGCAAAGGGGCAGCGUCUACGUUGACAAGGUUAUUGGGACUCAAGUAUUCAGCUGAUUGGGAAGACUUGAGUCCUAAAAGACUACAUUGUUUCUCCUCCUCUGCAGGCUGCUUUAGCUUGAAACAUCUGGGUGUGCCGGGACCCUGAGAUCGCCGGGAGGGACGGCAGACACCGCAGCAGUGGCAGGAGGGCACCUCCCAGUGCCGUCAAGACAGCCCACCGCCGUGCGCAGCCCGCGGGAUGCGUCUCAGCCCAAGCCCCCGUCAG